UGCGCUUGUAAGAAUGCGGAGACAGCAAAUGCGUGUGUAUGCAUCCAAAACGAUUGUAAAAAUGAAAACAAUCGUAUCGGACGUUGUUGCUGUUAUAAUAAGUUCGGAUCACUCACCUGCUCUAGUUGCUCAUAAGUGUACAUACGAGAUAACGUCGCGUUGCGGUAUUCCUCGAUUUAUCGAUUCGAUAGCCGCUUUGAUUAUACAGUUGACUCGAUAGCGUGACGACGAUUUGUGAUUUCAGUUUCGUAUGUAGUAAUGUUAACUGUCCGAAAAAGACAAAAAAAAAAA